AAUGUGUAGUAUGCAGUUUAUAUAUAUAUUUUGUUAAAAAAAAAUAAUAUAAAUAUAUAUUUUUUUAAGAUUACUUUUGAAUGUUUGGUAAUAUUCAUAAUCCUUUUUUUUUGUUUUAAUAUUAGUCAGGUGUAUAUGUAUUAAAUACAUGUUUAUGCUUAUGCUUGUGCUUAUGAUUUUUUUUUUUUUUUUUUUUUUUUUUUUUUUUCAAGAUGAGCCAAAUUAAACAUCUUCCCCCCAUAGUUUAUUUAUUUCCUAAUAAUUAAAUCUGAAAAUCAUAAAAGAUAUAAAUAUGUUACAAAAAAAAAAAAAAUAAAAUAAAAAAAAAUACAAAGGAAUAAUUUUAAAUCUUAAUUACAGUAUUAUAUGAGUUAUUUUUUACGUAAUGUAUCAAAACACAUGUAGAAGUGUUAAGCAGAUAUUUGAAGAUGCAACUUUUAAUAAACGUGAUAGGACUGUACUAAAAUUUGACAACAAUAAGUUAAACUUAUUUUUUGAAAAUGGUAUUCUCAAUUAUAGCUUAAUUGAACUGAUCGGAAACGCGGGAAGUGGAAAGACACAAUUUGCUUUAACUGUAUGCGCAGAACAACUUAUAAAAAUAUAUAAAGAAAAUAAACAAGAUGUUAUUUUUUAUGUUUAUAUGAAAGGAUCAUUUCCUAUUAAAAAUCUUACUACCAUAAUACAACACAAACUAAAGCAUUAUAAUGAUAACAACGACAGUAACAGUAACAGUAACAACCAUAUAAACGAACAACAUAGCCUUUUUGGCUGCGUGCUAAAAAAUUUCGUUAACAAUGAAAGUAAUAAUAACAAAUUAAGUAAUAAUGAAAAAUUAAGUAAUAAUAACAAAUUAAGUAAUAAUGUUUGGAUAAAUAGUACAGAAAGGGACAUAAAUAAAACCGAAACUACCGCUUUUUCAAAUAGAUAUGAAAGUCAAACAUAUGACAAUAAUAACACAAGCAUUAGCAGUAGUAGCCAUAAUCCUAACUCGUUUUAUUUAAACCCUAAUAGUGAACAAGUGUUAAAAAAUAUAAUAUCAAAAUUAUAUAUUCAAAAAGUUAAUGAUGAAAAA
rnacentral:lncRNA from 1 species